rnacentral:rRNA from 1 species
UACGGGGGGAGCAAGCGUUGUUCGGAUUUACUGGGCGUAAAGGGCGCGUAGGCGGCCACCGCAAGUCGAUUGUGAAAUCUCCGGGCUUAACCCGGAAAGGUCAACCGAUACUGCGGGGCUAGAGUGCAGAAGGGGCAACUGGAAUUCUCGGUGUAGCGGUGAAAUGCGCAGAUAUCAGGAGGAACACCAAUAGCGAAGGCAGCUCGCUGGGACGGUACUGACGCUGAGGCGCGAAAGCGUGGGGAGCGAACAGG